UUUAAUUUAUACAAUAUGUGUUAUUUCUUGUUUCAGUGGCCUUGGAUUAAAAUUUCCGAUUUUUUGGUGUGCAGAAUCCCCCGUGACAUUUUAUAUGGAGCAUUGUGUGAUGAUAGAUCAAUUUGUAGAGAUGUAUUUGGAAAACAUCCUCUUGUCUUGAAAAUCAGCUAUAAUAAAUCUACAGGUACAAUGAGGACAAUCACAUCUGUUUGGCUUUUUAUCCAUCAAUCUCCGGAUGAUUAUCAGCGGGUUGUUCUGAACGACAAAGAAGUUAAAGUUCUUAAAUAGUUCAAUCUUAUGAUUUCACACCUGAUACCUGGCUGUUCGGGGGACAUAUGUCAAAUAAAUAUGUGAUUAACAGCUGCAGAAAAAUCCCUAAAUCAUCAUUACUUGCCUAUACAUUGAAUAUAUUUCUGGUUCCUGGCUUAAUGGAAGGAAACAAAAUAGAAACUUUUGCAUCACACAGUUAUCUUGUAUCUGUUUUGUACAAUUAGAAUUUGAAUCUUGAUAACAAUUACACCAAGACCACUGUUAAAUAUUUCAGUAUUCCUUUGAAAAAAUCUUUUAUGUAAAAAAGGUCUUAUUUAAUAAUUUAAUUUAUGAAUUAGAUAUACAGUACAUGUAUAAAUUUGUUUAUGCAAUUUUAGAAUAAUAUUAUAUAACAAGAAUUGUUAAGUAAUUUUUUAUUAAAGGCCCAUUAUACUUCAGAAAUUAUGUUAGUUUUAUUUAAUUUUCGAAAACAGUUUCAAAAAAUAAACCCUUUUGCCAUAUACAUAAUUUAAAGAUAGUGAUGCUGAUUUUUUUUGUUUAGGCAAUUGGUAUAAUUAAAGUGAAUCAAAAGUAGUAUGAUAGUCAAAAUACUACUUAAAGUGUAAUGCCCCCUUCGAAAAGAGGGGGCAUAUUGUUUUGCUAAUGUCAGUCUGUCUGUUGGUCUGUCCGUCGUUAGACCACAUACUUUCCGCUGAAUAUCUUGACAACUGUUUAUCACAGAGUCUUCAUAUUUCACAUAGUGAUUGGCAAUAACUAGUUGAUGAUCCCUAUUGAUUUUGGGUCACUUGGUCAAAGGUCAAGGUCACAGGAGCCAUAAAUGUCAAAAUGGUUUCCGCUGAUUAUCUUGAAAAGCAUUUAUCACAAAUUUGUCAUAUUUUACUUAGUGAUUGGCCAUAGCUAGUAGAUGACCCCUAUUUAUUUUGGAGUCACUUGGUCAAAGGUCAAGGUCACAGGAGCCAUUAUUGUCAGAAUGGUUUCCGUUGUUUAUCUUGAAAAGUAUUCAUCACCAAGCCUUCAUAUUUCAUUAUUGAUUGGUCAUAACUAGUAAAUGACCCCUAUUGAUUUUAGGGUCAUUAGGUCAAAGGUCUAGGUCACAGGGGCCUUGAAUGGUAGUAUGAUUUCUGCUUAUUUUCUUGAUUACUAUUUAUCACAAAGUCACAUAGUGAUUGGUAAUAACCAACAGGUAUUACUUUUGGGGUCACUAGGUCAAAGGUCAAGGUCACAGAGGCGUUAAAUGUCAGAAUGGUUUCCGCUUAUUAUCUUAAAAUCUAUUUAUCACAAAUUCUUCAUAUUUCACAUACUGAUUGGUCAUAACUAGUUAGUGACCCCUAUUGAUUUUGGGGUCACUAGGUCAAGGUCAUAGGGUUCUUGAAUGUAAGUAUUGUUUCCGCUCAUUAUCUUGAAAGCCAUUUAUCACAAAGUCUUCAUAUUUCUAAUAUUGAUUGGUCAUAACAAUUAGAUGACCCCAAUUGGUUUUGUGUCACUAGUUCAAAGGUCAAGGUCACAGGGGCCUUAAAUGUCUCAUUAUCUUGCAAACUAUUUAUCACAAAGUCUUCAUUAUUUUUUUCCAUAAUUGAACAUUUCCAUGUACCCAUUUAUGGAAAGUUUCUAUA